rnacentral:rRNA from 1 species
GUCUAUAUGAAGGUGUAUAUAGUUUGGCCUGCUCACUGAUUAUAUUAAAGAGCCGCAGUAUUUUGACUGUGCGAAGGUAGCAUAAUAAAUUGUCUUUUAAAUGGAGGCUUGAAUGAAAGGUUGGACAAAGUAUCAUCUGUUUCUUAAAUAUUUAUUGAAUUUGACUUUCAAGUGAAAAGGCUUGAAUAAAUUAAAAAGACGAUAAGACCCUAUAAAUCUUUACAAUAAACAUAUUUUAUAUUUUUAUUUAUUAAGUGAAUGAGAUAUUAAAUUUGUAGUUGUUUCGCUGGGGCGGCGUAGAUAUAUAAAUGAACUGUCUAUAAUUUUAAAUACAAUAAUUAUUGAUUAAUGAAAUUGAUCCUUAAAUAGAUUAAAAGAUUAAGAUACUUUAGGGAUAACAGCGUUAUUUUUUCUGAGAGUUCUUAUCGAAGAAAAAGUUUGCGACCUCGAUGUUGAAUUAAAGUAUCUUUAUGGUGCAGUCGCUAUAAGAGAGAGUCUGUUCGACUUUUAAUACUUUACAUGAUUUGAGUUCAGACCGACGUGAG